AAAAUAAUGAUGCAUUUUAUUAAACGACAAAGGUCAGAGCCUACAUACAUAAGAAUGUCCACGACCAAAACAAAAUAAACUCAACUACAAGAAAUUCAACUUUACCCAAAAAAUUAGUCUAAAUCUAUUACAAGGAAAAGCUUACCCCACUCAGAUCGAAACCUGAAAACCCUGACUAGAAGAAGCCUCAACUCGCCGCCGAGAAACAUUCUAGAGGAAUCCUGAGCGAGAAACAGAGUAACUAUCAGGCUAAUACUAGAGGGAGAAAACGUCAAUUGAAGUAUUACCAGAGAACCAUUUACGGCUGAGAAAGCCUAAGAGGAGGUCCCCCAAAACUAGAACCCCAGAGCUUCGAGAAAGAGUUGGAAUCCAACCAAAACAAAGCACAACCAUAGAAACUACCACCGUCAAACUGCUGGAGCCAAAGGAAACAAAAGAUCCCUUGCUUGGAAGACCAGGAAAGGAACUUGACAGCAAAAGACUCUCAAGCUCUUGUGGUAACUUUGUAUCUGCUUUCGCUAAUACAAAAAGAGAAAAGAGCAGAGCCCUUAGAUCUAGCUCAGCGAACACAUAAGAUGUCGGUAGAGAUCCUAAGUUGCCAUCUUCUCCCAACACCUUACAAAUAAACUCACACCCAUGAAACAGAUCCACCAAUCCUACAUACAAAGCCUCAAAAUCAAAGAACCAAAGAAAACAAGUAACACUAGAGCUUCAACA
rnacentral:misc_RNA from 1 species